GCGGAUGUGGUGAAAUGGUAGACACACCAGUUUUAGGUACUGGCGGCGCGAGCUGUGGGGGUUCAAGUCCCUCCAUCCGUACCA
rnacentral:tRNA from 1 species